rnacentral:rRNA from 1 species
AUACGGAGUGUGCGAGCGUUACUCGGAGUCACUGGGCGUAAAGCGUCCGUAGGCGGUCGGGUAAGUCGGGUGUGAAAGCCCCGGGCUCAACCUGGGAAGUGCACCCGAUACUGCUCGACUCGAGUGCGGGAGAGGAUGGCGGAAUUCCCGGUGUAGCGGUGAAAUGCGUAGAGAUCGGGAGGAACACCAGUGGCGAAGGCGGCCAUCUGGCCCGCAACUGACGCUGAGGGACGAAAGCGUGGGGAGCAAACAGGAUUAGAUACCCUAGUAGUCC